rnacentral:rRNA from 1 species
AACGAACGCUGGCGGCAUGCCUAACACAUGCAAGUCGAACGAGACCUUCGGGUCUAGUGGCGCACGGGUGCGUAACGCGUGGGAACCUGCCCUUAGGUUCGGAAUAACUCCCCGAAAGGGGUGCUAAUACCGGAUAAUGUCUUCGGACCAAAGAUUUAUCGCCUUUGGAUGGGCCCGCGUUGGAUUAGCUAGUUGGUAGGGUAAAAGCCUACCAAGGCGACGAUCCAUAGCUGGUCUGAGAGGAUGAUCAGCCACACUGGGACUGAGACACGGCCCAGACUCCUACGGGAGGCAGCAGUGGGGAAUAUAGGACAAUGGGCGAAAGACUGAUCCAGCAAUGCCGCGUGAGUGAUGAAGGCCUUAGGGUUGUAAAGCUCUUUUAACCGGGAUGAUAGUGACAGUACCGGGAGAAUAAGCUCCGGCUAACUCCGUG